rnacentral:lncRNA from 1 species
GAAUGAACCAGGGAGUUUCAUUCUGUCUCACUGGAGAGGAGGCAGGGACAGACCCAGCAGCACCCACCUGAGCGAGAAGAGCAGACACCGUGCUCCUGGAAUCACCCAGCAUGUUGCAAGGUCUCCUGCCAGUCAGUCUCCUCCUCUCUGUUGCAGUAAGUGCUAUAAAAGAACUCCCUGGGGUGAAGAAGUAUGAAGUGGUUUAUCCUAUAAGACUUCAUCCACUGCAUAAAAGAGAGGCCAAAGAGCCAGAGCAACAGGAACAAUUUGAAACUGAAUUAAAGUAUAAAAUGACAAUUAAUGGAAAAAUUGCAGUGCUUUAUUUGAAAAAAAACAAGAACCUCCUUGCACCAGGCUACACGGAAACAUAUUAUAAUUCCACUGGAAAGGAGAUCACCACAAGCCCACAAAUUAUGGAUGAUUGUUAUUAUCAAGGACAUAUUCUUAAUGAAAAGGUUUCUGACGCUAGCAUCAGCACAUGUAGGGGUCUAAGAAAUUGAAAGACAGGAAGGUUCAGGAACAUGAGAAAUACAUAGAAUAUUAUUUGGUCCUGGAUAAUGGUGAGUUUAAAAGGUACAAUGAGAAUCAAGAUGAGAUCAGAAAGAGGGUAUUUGAGAUGGCUAAUUAUGUCAACAUGCUUUAUAAAAAGCUCAAUACUCAUGUGGCCUUAGUUGGUAUGGAAAUCUGGACUGACAAGGAUAAGAUAAAGAUAACCCCAAAUGCAAGCUUCACCUUGGAGAAUUUUUCUAAAUGGAGGGGGAGUGUUCUCUCAAGAAGAAAGCGUCAUGAUAUUGCUCAGUUAAUCACAGCAACAGAACUUGCUGGAACGACUGUGGGUCUUGCAUUUAUGUCUACAAUGUGUUCUCCUUAUUCUGUUGGCGUUGUUCAGGACCACAGCGAUAAUCUUCUUAGAGUUGCAGGGACAAUGGCACAUGAAAUGGGCCACAACUUUGGAAUGUUUCAUGACGACUAUUCUUGCAAGUGUCCUUCUACAAUAUGUGUGAUGGACAAAGCACUGAGCUUCUAUAUACCCACAGACUUCAGUUCCUGCAGCCGUCUCAGCUAUGACAAGUUUUUUGAAGAUAAAUUAUCAAAUUGCCUCUUUAAUGCUCCAUUGCCUACAGAUAUCAUAUCCACUCCAAUUUGUGGGAACCAGUUGGUGGAAAUGGGAGAGGACUGUGAUUGUGGGACAUCUGAGGAAUGUACCAAUAUUUGCUGUGAUGCUAAGACAUGUAAAAUCAAAGCAACUUUUCAAUGUGCAUUAGGAGAAUGUUGUGAAAAAUGCCAAUUUAAAAAGGCUGGGAUGGUGUGCAGACCAGCAAAAGAUGAGUGCGACCUGCCUGAAAUGUGUAAUGGUAAAUCUGGUAAUUGUCCUGAUGAUAGAUUCCAAGUCAAUGGCUUCCCUUGCCAUCACGGGAAGGGCCACUGCUUGAUGGGGACAUGCCCCACACUGCAGGAGCAGUGCACAGAGCUGUGGGGACCAGGUAGGAGGACAAAUCCUUUCCCCUGUGCAUGUGCGAAGGAAAAUCAUUUCAGAUGACAGUGUUUAACCAUGGUCAAAGGACCAUUCUGUCCUAUCCUUCUUAGAAGCUUUGAACUCAAAAUCAUGGAAAGGUUUUAAGAUUUGAGGUUGGUUUUAGGGUUGCUAGAUUUAGCAAGUAAAAAUAAGGAUGGCCCCGUUAAAUUUUAACUUAAAAUUAACAAGUUUUUUGUUAAUUUUUUGUUUUUUGUCUCAGCAUCAGUAUAUCCCAUGCAAUAUUUGAGGUGUGCUCAUACUAAAAUUAUUUGUGUAUCUGAAAUUCAAAUUAAACUGGGUGUCUUUUUCUUUUCAUCUGGCAACCCUACUAAGAUCAUAAACCCUUGGAAAUCUGUGUGUGUGCGGGUGUGUGUGUGUGUGUGUGUGCAGGGGUGGCAGAAGUACUGUGGGAUGGGACAGAAAUAA